rnacentral:rRNA from 1 species
AUUGAACGCUGGCGGCAUGCCUUACACAUGCAAGUCGAACGGCAGCAUGGAAGAGCUUGCUCUUCUGAUGGCGAGUGGCGAACGGGUGAGUAAAGCAUCGGAACGUACCGUGUAGUGGGGGAUAACGUAGCGAAAGUUACGCUAAUACCGCAUACGCACUGAGGUGGAAAGCAGGGGAUCGCAAGACCUUGCGCUAUACGAGCGGCCGAUGUCAGAUUAGCUAGUGGGUGGGAUAAAGGCCUACCAAGCCAACGAUCUGUAGCGGGUCUGAGAGGACGACCAGCCACACUGGGACUGAGACACGGCCCAGACUCCUACGGGAGGCAGCAGUGGGGAAUUUUGGACAAUGGGCGCAAGCCUGAUCCAGCCAUGCCGCGUGCGGGAAGAAGGCCUUCGGGUUGUAAACCGCUUUUGUCAGGGAAGAAACGCUCUGGACUAAUAAUCUGGGGUAAUGACGGUACCUGAAGAAUAAGCACCGGCUAACUACGUGCCAGCCGCCGCAGUAAAAC